UACGUAGGUGGCAAGCGUUGUCCGGAUUUACUGGGCGUAAAGAGCGCGCAGGCGGUCGAUCAAGUCGAGUGUGAAAGCCCCCCGGCUCAACUGGGGAGGGUCAUUCGAUACUGAUCGACUCGAAGGCAGGAGAGGGUAGUGGAAUUCCCGGUGUAGUGGUGAAAUGCGUAGAUAUCGGGAGGAACACCAGUGGCGAAGGCGACUUCCUGGCCUGUUCUUGACGCUGAGGCGCGAAAGCUAGGGGAGCAAACGGGG
rnacentral:rRNA from 1 species